UAAUUAACGCUCCAUAAUCCAUUUACACCAAGUGAAUAUGCGUUCAUGUUAAAGAAAAAGUCCCACAUCAUCGUUUCAGAAGCAGAAGCAUACAUAUAUAACUUGAAGCACUGAGAGUAAAGAGCACGACCUUACUUGAACAGGAUCUGUUCUAUAGGCUCGUACCUCUGAAUCCUUGAGUUCUAAGGAGACAGGAAACUAAGUCUGGUGGAUGAUUUACGACCGUGCGAUUAGAGCGUGAUUAACAGCUACCGUUGAUCUUCGUGAUCUCCUGGUGCAGUAGAUGAUCGUUCUCAUGCUCCUCUGUGAUCUUGAGAUGAUCACACGGUGUUCUGACAGACUCCCCCCAUUUCUUUUUUUAUUUAUUAUAUAUUGUCUCUUAACUAGUAAAUCAUUGCAUAAUUGUUACUGGGUUUAUUUUUUGGGCAAUUUUCUGGGUUGAGAAAAGUUUCUAGAGUAAGAAAAAUGAAGGGAAAAUUAGGAGGAGGAAAAACAAUAACAGGAACUCCGUCGAUGGGUUGGUCGUGUGUGGUGGUUGUUUUCUCUCUCCUCGGUGGUGCCUCCAUUGUUCACAACCUUUACAAACCUGACCUUACGUUGCCACCUUUGGAGGAAGUGAGUAAGGAGAAGCCAUGAGAGGAUAUAUCUUGCUGUGUCCGCGCGUGUUCUUGUUGAAAGUUCGACUCAAGCAAUGAAAUUAGAAGACUUUUAUUUUUGAGCUAAAUGUAUGAAUCUUUGAUAAGUGCUCAGAUAUGAGACAUCUUGUUUCCUUUUAUUUUAGAACUUUUAGUGAUGAAUGUUGCUGCUGAAAUUGCAUGUCUUGCCUUUUGUUUAAGUAUUGUUGUAAACUGGUGAUUGUUGCUUCUGCUUCUUUUAUACCUCACCUUGUCUCACGUCUAUGCACAUGAAGGAUCUAUGUUCUGUGUUGCUGCUCU